rnacentral:misc_RNA from 1 species
GAUGAAGAACGCAGCGAAAUGCGAUACGUAAUGUGAAUUGCAGAAUUCAGUGAAUCAUCGAGUCUUUGAACGCACAUUGCGCCCCCUGGUAUUCCGGGGGGCAUGCCUGUCCGAGCGUCAUUGCUGCCCUCAAGCACGGCUUGUGUGUUGGGCCUCCGUCCUCCUCCCGGGGGACGGGCCCGAAAGGCAGCGGCGGCACCGCGUCCGGUCCUCGAGCGUAUGGGGCUUCGUCACCCGCUCUUGUAGGCCCGGCCGGCGCUUGCCGACACAUCAGUCUUUUUUCCAGGUUGACCUCGGAUCAGGUAGGGAUACCCGCUGAACUUAAGCAUAUCAAUAAGCGGAGGA